ensembl:lncRNA
GCACUGAUGACCACAGUAGUCAGCCUUGUCCAGUUGGAUAUUUUUGUCCACGGGGCUCAGCCAAUCCAGUUGCAUGCCCACCUGGCAGCUAUGGCAACAGCACCAAGGCUGAAUUACUUGAGGAAUGCCACCCUUGCCCUCCAGGCACAUUCAACCACCUGUACGCCCAGAGAGCCUGUUUCCCCUGUGGCAGCUCUUCCAUUUCAUCACAAGGGGCAUCCUCAUGCAUGUGCAUAGGCAAAAACCGGGCAUUCCAGCACUCUGAUGGCUCCUGCGUGUGUAAAGCUGGUUAUGUCUUCUACAAUGAAUUGGACUUCAAAAGUUCCAAUGGUGAUAGUGAUCUAGACUGUCAACCUGAGGUGAGCAAACGCUGUGGAACUGGACAAGUGAGACUGGCUUCAUCACAAGACUGUGUCAGUCCCUCUGAACACUCAUGCAACAUUACUUGUGGAGCUCAUGGUGGGAGUCUGGAUGUAAGCUUGGGCAUUUGUCACUGUGAGAUGUAUGUCUCUGUGGAGGAGUUGUGUAACUCCUCAUGCUUGUCUGCACUGCCUGUGCUAUCUGCCAGACUGGCUCCAAAUGGACAGCUGGUGCUCAGGAUCAAAGUGAUGGAUGAAAGCAGGAUCUGGAGCAGGAAUAUCAUGAAUGUCCUGGGGCCUGACAGUCAUAUCAGCAGCUUCGGAAAGAUCCAUUUUGUCCAGUUUUCUCCAGAUGGAGUGUUUGGUUGGAUUUUAAAGGACCCUGUGCUUAUUGACAUCUUUUUGUCUGAGCCAUUUGAAAUUCUGGAUGGACAUCCAAGGAAGCGAAGACACACCCAUGAGCUAGGAUUACUGAUCUCAGGGCCUCUCCCUCGCAUUCCCAACCCCAUAGCCUGCCUUUCCACCAAUGACAUGCUCAUCUUUCAGCUCACCAUCAACUACACAGACCGUCUCCUCAGCCACUUUCCAGUCUAUCAAAAGAACCAUUUGUUCAGCAGUAACCCUACCUGGGACUUUGGUGCAUUCAGACAACUGGAAAGCCUUGUCAAACAUUCCCGAUUUAAUUCCACCAGAUUUGCACAUGCAUUCAUGGAGCCAGGGAAGUAUGUGUUCCUGGACAAUGCAGUGCCGGAUUGGAGCCUGAUAGUUGUGGUGAAAGAGGAGGGCACUGAGUGUGAUCCUACUGCAGCUGCCUUCCAGCCCACCUCUCCAGCACAGCUGGUGCGACAUGGGAUUGUCAAACAACAGCGACUCAACCUGUUGCCUGACUGGGGCACCAUUGGAGGGGUCUUGGUGCUGAUGGUGUUACUAGUAGUCGUGUUGACUCUGACUGCCCUGCUUCUGAGACCAAAUCAUGCCAACCUCAUUGCUAAAGGCAGACCAAAGCCUAAAUGGCGCAGCUUGGGAGAACCUACUGUUCCUGUAGCGUAUGUUUACAAUGAAGAGUGUAUAGAUAGCGCUCUACUGGGACUCAGGGGAGUCGGUGAGGGUGCGGAAGAAGAAGAACCUGCUGUGUGCAAAGGAUUCAAGAAUAUAUUCAUGGAGCUGGAAGGAUUCAAUGUCAAAACACUGUACGACAAAUUAGAGGACCAGAAUUUGCAUCUGGCAUCACAGCUGGCUAAGCACCGCAAAGAUACACAGGAGUUCUACAGGAAUAUCUGUCAGCAGACUGAUAUACUGCGGGAUGUUUUGGAGAACAUGGAGCCCUCAAAACUGAUCCAGUGGAAGAAGAUUAUAGAUAGUAAGGCACAAGCCAAGAAGGAAUCAAUUUAUGUGGAGUCAUCGAUGGGCUUGAUGGAGGCUGUGCUGAAGUCUUUAGAGGCCGUGUUGUUUAGAUUGAAUGGAGAGGCCUGGCAGCAACAGCACCAGCACAGAGACAGCAGAGAGAGUGAAAUCCACAUCAGAAACACCCAGAUUUCUUCAACUGACAUGAGUGAACUGAAAGCACGGCCGGAUACAGAAGCAGCUUCUUCUGGCCAGGGUGGGAGGAAAUAUCUCUCAGUGCCCCCUUUGAGCACAGUACCCUGUGUGAGUGAAGAGGAUCUGGCCAAGCUGAUGGCGCUCACACCUCUCACCAGAACUCUGCAGGACAUACAGCAGUCUCUGCAGGAACUCAGCCAAAGGCCCAGAGCACAGGAAGAUAAGAGUACUCCUUCGGCAAUUCCCGACGACCCAGCAGAAUGGGCAUCAGCAAAGUUGAUCCCUGUUGCCCUUGAUAACCUCUCUCCAAGGUGCUUUGCAGUGUUCCUGUUUGGCUGCCAUGUUGUACAGCUGCUGAGCCGAGUCUGCUCGUUCCCUCCUGUCAUGCUGCUACUGGCUAAGACUCUUCCAGUCACGUGCACUGAUACUCUGUUGGUUUACUGCUACAAAGAGUUUUACUACGACACAGCCAACCAGAUCCUGUAUAUCCUUGAGAGCAAGCUUCAAAAUGCUGGCCAAUUUGUCUCAGUUCUCUUACACUCCAUGGCCUACAUUAGCUCAGGCUCUGCAUCUCGAGACUUCAUGGGUGCUCUCCACUCAGCGAUAUCUGCCCUAAGUAUGCAGUUAUUCCAGCUCACCUUCACUCAGGAGCAGCUGGAAUGCAAGAUUAAGGAAGAGAUUCCACAUGUUGCCUUUGGAACAAUAGCGGAGGACUUCCUCAGUGUUAAAAUUCCACCAGAAACUCAGUUCUCCCAGAAUCUGUUGGCAGAAAGAUUGCAGAAGUAUAAGUACUUCAAACUGGAGCAUUUCCUUUGUGAACAAAACCCCCCUCCAGCAAACAGAUCCGCAGAACAUCCUGGUCAAAUGAGCUGUAAAGGUCUAGAGAAGGAGCAAGCAUCGAUGUUAAAGUGUCAGCAGGACACAGUAGAGCAGAGAUUGAAGGAGAUGAGAGACAGGCUGUUUAACUCUAGUGCAGCACAGAGAACUGUGUGUCAGGAAGAAAGCCCAUCCCAAACUACAGAACAAACACAUCCAGACAGCCAGUCCAUGAGCGAACACACAAUCAAGCCAGGUGACAACCAGGGAGAGGUCACUGAGCAGUUCCCCAGAAAUAAACAACACAGCAAACACAUGGAUGAAGCUUCUGGGGAAAAGGACAUGAUGGCUUAAAGUGGUUUUGUAUUAAAAAAACAAAACAAAAAAAACAAACAAACAAACAAAAAAAAAACAGUAACUACAGUACUACAGUGUUACAUAUUCUAGAUUGUUAUGUUGACUUAAUUUUCUAUAUUACUUUCUAUCUCUAUUCUGAAAUUUCAAAACGAUUAGCUGUAAAUACAUUUUUACUGUAAUGCCAUAAACACUCAGUCAUACAGUUAUCUAUUUUAUCAGAAACAAUCUGAGUGAAUAGUAGAAUAUUAGAAUAUUGACAUAAAUUUCAGAAUUCUCUAGUAUUUGGUAUGUUCCCUAUUGCUUCUCAAGCUCUUAUGCACUCAAGCUGUCAUAGACUCCAGAAGCUUGUGUAAAACCGGAUGAUCCGGAUGAUGUGCUUUAAUGUAAAGAAUUUAAACUCAGAGGGGAAUUAACAUGAUCAAUAUCACAAAUUUACUUAAGUUAAAAAGUGGCCUAGAAAUUUAACAGUUGCUUUGUUUGAAAUUGUUCCCCCCAAAUUCUAAAUUUCCAGUUUUAAAUGAAAAUAAAUAAAUAAAUAAAUCUCAGGGUUUCAACUUUGGUCUCAGACGUUUGGACCCCACUGUACUGUAUAUGUGGUGGCAUUGGAAAAAUCUUGACCUGGUGAAUUUUGGACAUUUUCUACUACAUAUAAUUCUAAAAACUAUAGCGUUUCCUGAACUAUGUUUCUCUUUUGCACGUUGUCAAGGUUUUUUACCAUCUGGUUACCUUCAAAACUGAAAAGGGAGAAAAUAACUUUUAAAGAUUGCAUUUGAGUGAGUGCAGGUACAUCAAGGACAUCUUCCACAGCUGAAAUCUGAUUUCACUAGAGUAUAUAAUUGUGCAUCUUUUUUUGCGCAGUUCAGUGUUUUCACAAUAAUCCUCACACUGUUGUCAUCACUAGCUCUACAUUGGUUUUUUGUACUGUAUUACUCAAUUUGCACAUUUCAUUCCACAUGCAGUUUGACUUGUGUAUUUCCUUUUCUUCCAACUCCGUGAACUCUCUCCCUAUGUUGUGGUUAUGCAUGAUGUCUGUUCAUUUGUUUAUGCACUUUAUUUUAACUGUACGGUCGCUGCCACUGUAGCACAAGCAUUGUAUUGUUUCUUCUGUACUCUGUAUUCUGGAAACAUUUGAAAAUAAAGUGAACUUAAGCUUUAACUCUG